rnacentral:rRNA from 1 species
UACGGAGGGUGCAAACGUUGCUCGGAAUCAUUGGGCGUAAAGCGCACGUAGGCGGCUCGUUAAGUCGGAUGUGAAAUCCCUGGGCUCAACCCAGGAAGUGCAUUCGAAACUGGCGAGCUUGAAUAUGGAAGAGGGUCGCGGAAUUCCCGGUGUAGAGGUGAAAUUCGUAGAUAUCGGGAGGAACACCAGUGGCGAAGGCGGCGACCUGGGCCAAUAUUGACGCUGAGGUGCGAAAGCGUGGAGAGCAAACAGG